UACAGAGGGUGCAAGCGUUGUUCGGAAUUAUUGGGCGUAAAGCGCGUGUAGGCGGCUUUGUGUGUCGGGUGUGAAAGCCCUCGGCUUAACCGAGGAAGUGCGCCCGAAACUGCAGAGCUUGAGUGCCGGAGAGGAUAGCGGAAUACCCGGUGUAGAGGUGAAAUUCGUAGAUAUCGGGUGGAACACCAGUGGCGAAGGCGGCUAUCUGGACGGACACUGACGCUGAGACGCGAAAAGCGUGGGGAGCAAACAGG
rnacentral:rRNA from 1 species